AACAUGGAACAUAAAAACACGGUCCGGUUGGUAGUCCGGAUGCGCCGAAUUGACCGGUGUCGUAUCCUUCCCCCCUCGGGAUGUCCAUUGUUCAUUAUUUUGGA
rfam:Desulfitobacterium hafniense Y51 DNA, complete genome.